AUGAACGCUAGCGACAGGCUUAACACAUGCAAGUCGAGGGGCAGCGGGGGUAGCGAUACCCGCCGGCGACCGGCGCACGGGUGAGUAACGCGUAUGCAACUUGCCUAUCAGAGGGGGAUAACCCGGCGAAAGUCGGACUAAUACCGCAUGAAGCAGGGGCCCCGCAUGGGGAUAUUUGCUAAAGAUUCAUCGCUGAUAGAUAGGCAUGCGUUCCAUUAGGCAGUUGGCGGGGUAACGGCCCACCAAACCGACGAUGGAUAGGGGUUCUGAGAGGAAGGUCCCCCACAUUGGUACUGAGACACGGACCAAACUCCUACGGGAGGCAGCAGUGAGGAAUAUUGGUCAAUGGCCGAGAGGCUGAACCAGCCAAGUCGCGUGAGGGAUGAAGGUUCUAUGGAUCGUAAACCUCUUUUAUAAGGGAAUAAAGUGCGGGACGUGUCCCGUUUUGUAUGUACCUUAUGAAUAAGGAUCGGCUAACUCCGUGCCAGCAGCCGCGGUAAUACGGAGGAUCCGAGCGUUAUCCGGAUUUAUUGGGUUUAAAGGGUGCGUAGGCGGCCUUUUAAGUCAGCGGUGAAAGUCUGUGGCUCAACCAUAGAAUUGCCGUUGAAACUGGGGGGCUUGAGUAUGUUUGAGGCAGGCGGAAUGCGUGGUGUAGCGGUGAAAUGCAUAGAUAUCACGCAGAACCCCGAUUGCGAAGGCAGCCUGCCAAGCCAUUACUGACGCUGAUGCACGAAAGCGUGGGGAUCAAACAGGAUUAGAUACCCUGGUAGUCCACGCAGUAAACGAUGAUCACUAGCUGUUUGCGAUACACUGUAAGCGGCACAGCGAAAGCGUUAAGUGAUCCACCUGGGGAGUACGCCGGCAACGGUGAAACUCAAAGGAAUUGACGGGGGCCCGCACAAGCGGAGGAACAUGUGGUUUAAUUCGAUGAUACGCGAGGAACCUUACCCGGGUUUGAACGCAUUCGGACCGAGGUGGAAACACCUUUUCUAGCAAUAGCCGUUUGCGAGGUGCUGCAUGGUUGUCGUCAGCUCGUGCCGUGAGGUGUCGGCUUAAGUGCCAUAACGAGCGCAACCCUUGCCACUAGUUACUAACAGGUAAAGCUGAGGACUCUGGUGGGACUGCCAGCGUAAGCUGCGAGGAAGGCGGGGAUGACGUCAAAUCAGCACGGCCCUUACAUCCGGGGCGACACACGUGUUACAAUGGCGUGGACAAAGGGAAGCCACCUGGCGACAGGGAGCGAAUCCCCAAACCACGUCUCAGUUCGGAUCGGAGUCUGCAACCCGACUCCGUGAAGCUGGAUUCGCUAGUAAUCGCGCAUCAGCCAUGGCGCGGUGAAUACGUUCCCGGGCCUUGUACACACCGCCCGUCAAGCCAUGGGAGCCGGGGGUACCUGAAGUCCGUAACCGCGAGGAUCGGCCUAGGGUAAAACUGG
rnacentral:rRNA from 1 species